AAGGAAUAUUGGUCAAUGGACGCAAGUCUGAACCAGCCAUGCCGCGUGAAGGAUGAAGGUCCUCUGGAUUGUAAACUUCUUUUAUCUGGGACGAAAACGGGAUUUUUAUCUCAAUUGACGGUACCAGAGGAAUAAGCACCGGCUAACUCCGUGCCAGCAGCCGCGGUAAUACGGAGGGUGCGAGCGUUAUCCGGAUUUACUGGGUUUAAAGGGUGCGUAGGUGGGCUUAUAAGUCAGUGGUGAAAUCUCCGAGCUUAACUUGGAAACUGCCGUUGAUACUAUAGGUCUUGAAUUAUCUGGAGGUAAGCGGAAUAUGUCAUGUAGCGGUGAAAUGCUUAGAUAUGACAUAGAACACCAAUUGCGAAGGCAGCUUACUACAUAUAAAUUGACACUGAGGCACGAAAGCGUGGGGAUCAAACA
rnacentral:rRNA from 1 species